AACUUUCAACAACGGAUCUCUUGGCUCCUGCAUCGAUGAAGAACGCAGCGAAAUGCGAUAAGUAAUGUGAAUUGCAGAAUUCAGCGAAUCAUCGAGUCUUUGAACGCA
rnacentral:rRNA from 2 species